rnacentral:lncRNA from 1 species
GUUAGGGACUCAGGUGGGGGGCCAGGAAGCUAUGGAGAAACCAGCUCAUUGAAAUCCAGAUAAUCCCUAAACCUCAUUUUCCCUAUUGCAUAUGACUGCCUUUCUGCCCUGCCCCCUUUUACAGGAUCGCCAAGAAGCCACCAGACCGCUUUGCCUGGCACUCCUUUUAUCUUUCUGGCCUGAGGGGGCCAUGGGCUAAUGAUCAGUGAAAUCAGGAAAGGCCAAGAGGCCCAGCUAAUCCACAAAUUGGAUCAUCCACCCCUGAAUAAUCAAGAGUUGCUGGCACAAAAGUUGGUUUCUCUCUUUGAUCAUCAGCACACUCAAAACACACCUACAUUUGCUUCUUGUGGGAGCCCUCUGACUUAG